AUUGAACGCUGGCGGCAUGCUUUACACAUGCAAGUCGAACGGCAGCGCGGGGGCAACCCUGGCGGCGAGUGGCGAACGGGUGAGUAAUACAUCGGAACGUACCCAGAAGUGGGGGAUAACGUAGCGAAAGUUACGCUAAUACCGCAUACGUUCUACGGAAGAAAGUGGGGGAUCGCAAGACCUCAUGCUUUUGGAGCGGCCGAUGUCUGAUUAGCUAGUUGGUGAGGUAAAGGCUCACCAAGGCGACGAUCAGUAGCUGGUCUGAGAGGACGACCAGCCACACUGGAACUGAGACACGGUCCAGACUCCUACGGGAGGCAGCAGUGGGGAAUUUUGGACAAUGGGGGCAACCCUGAUCCAGCAAUACCGCGUGAGUGAAGAAGGCCUC
rnacentral:rRNA from 1 species